GGUCAGAGACUGGGUAGGAACAAUUCAUAAGAGACUUCUGAUUAUGCUGAAGAAAGAGAAGAUGCUAGGGAUCAGGGAAUCUCUGUGGAAGAAGAGACAGAAACAAUGUGGGAGCCAGAGGAGAUGGAGGACACCACGAGAACAAAGCUCUCUACAUCAGCAACAGGAUUGAUGCACACAUGAGCUCACAGAGACCGAGGCAGCAUGCACAGGGCCUAUGCCAGGUGUUGGUCCUAAAGCUGAAGGAGACAUGGACACAUAUUCCCAUCCCUAACCCAGAAGCUAUCUCUAAUAGAUAACUAUUAUAAACAAAA